UCUCAGUCAUAGUUGCUCCCAGCAGAGCAUGCUGUGCCUUGUCAACUUUCUCAGCCAUUCCCACAUGCCUCCAAGAGGGCCUAUCAGGCUCAACCCUUCAGGGGCCCAACAUGAAUCAGACAUGGAUCCUGCCCUCGAGGAGUUUAUUGUCUAGUGGUAGAAAGUGCCAAGUACCAUAGCAAAGGCAAUUCUAAGGGCCAUGGGGCUUCAGAAAAGAAAAGAUGCAGGCUGAGCAUCAAGAAGGCCUGCCAGAGGAGGUUGCAUUUGAGCUGGACCUCAGAAGAAGACAGUGAACUUCCCACAGGCAGAGACUGGAGGUGGUGCUAGUUAUAGUGAUGGACACUGUGAUCUUGGGGGGUCGGAGGGCAUGGGGCGUGGGGUGGGCAAGAUGGAGAAAGCUGAAGUAGAGGCCAAGGAGAUUCUGGAUAUAUUCUGUAGUAAGAGGAUUACUUUAAAAUUCGACCCAGUGCUGUCCCAAAUAAAAGCAGGCCAUUGUUUAUAAGAAGUAACGACUAAAAGUUGAGAACUGGGUUUGAAUGACAAGUACUUGCUGAUGGUGCUUAGGCAGACCCUCAACCCUCUUUUCUAUGAGUCUGUGAUUCCCAGGGGGAGCCAAUGGCCAACUUUUGGUCUAGUCAAGGUCUCUUCAUCAAUGAGUUCAUCCAUGCAGCAACAAGACUUUAUAGUAGAAUGGGAGAUGGAACUCCAAAGAGUGAAUAUGCUCAGGACUGUUCAGUAUGUCAGGUCAACGCCUGAAUUUGCGAUGUGUCAGGUCAACGUUUAGGUCACGCCUGCCAGCAAAAACAGUCUGGGUUCAUGUUUUGAAGAGUCAGUAGGCAGAAGCGAAAAAGAGGAGGCCUGGAGCUGACACUGGGGAGGGAGAAGAUGGUAAGGAGUUGCUUGACGAGGACCAAAAAAAAAAAAAAGUGAAGUAGGAGUAACUAGAUGGUAAUAUAAAGAUAAAAGAGGAAAAUUAUUUUUAAAAAAUGCUAUACUUUAAAACAUUGAAGCUAGUUCCUUUCCUUCCCUUUGUUGUCGUUUUAGAAUUGUAGUCCUGUUUGGGGAGUUUACAGAAGCGAAUGCUGUGAGACGUUUUGAUGGGGAAAUCAUCACCCAAAUGUUACUUUUUAAAAUGCUUGUACAAGACUUUCAAUUUUUUCUGUAAUCUUGGGUGGCAUCAGACCCUUUGAAUUUUUAAGUCUGAACAUAAUCAGUAUUUCCCCAGGAUUCUCAUCAUUCCCAAUGGGCUGAAUUUAGCCAGCAGGAACCGCAGCCUUGGAAAGACAAAACAACCCAGUGACAUUUUAUGGAAAAGAAGCUGGCAGAUCAAUCAGGUGUAGUCAGUCAAAGGAUGAAGGGCAAAAGACUCCACCCGAGAGCAACCAUGUCUUGGAUGGCCAGAUAAGAAAAGGCAGGCAGAUGUAGUUUGGGGUCAGCCAGGGAAGGGCCAGGACCCUGCCUAAGGCCCCUGAUCCUAAGACCCCCUCAAAGGAGGUGGGGACAUUCUCGGCUUGGCCUGUUACAUACCUACAUUGAGAAUGAGGUGAAAGCUUCUUCUCAACAACUUAGGAGGGCAAAGGCUAAACUGACCUAACUUGGACAGGCGGCUUCGUGCCCUGUCAGUUUUAUGCUGCGUCCUCCCCGUGCGGAGUGCGAACUGCCACAGACGAGCAAACAGUCUCAGGGUAGCGGGGGUGGGGAGGCGCAUGACCAGGGGAAACACAGACAAGUCCAGCGUGACAAACUGCUUUGGGGAUUUUUCUAUCUAUUCUUUCAGCCCCAAACUUUCCAGCUUCUGCCUGCCUCCUGUUGGUUGCCCCAAAAGUCCAGCUUUCCCCCAAACCCAAGCAAAAUACCUCUUGACCUUCGAUGUGGCAGGCCUCUUUGGAUCUGAUUUUUCUUCUGCCAGCUCCACACUCUGAUCUGGCUGCACAGUCUUCCCUGCGAAGGUGGUCUCGUUUCUUAGCUUUCUGUUCACUUCUCUUUGCUUCUUUUACCUUCCUGCUAUUUUAUACCCUAUCACACUUUUGGCCUUCAAAUGGGUGUCCAAUUCAGUUUGUCUCCUACUAUUGUUUUCUGUUUCUGGGGGAGGAGGCUGAUUUUGUUAAGGAAAGUGUUUGGGUCUUAAAUAAAAAAGUUAGUUGUACUAAUUGGAGUUCCCCGAUCAUUUGAUACACUAAAAGGGCACAGAAGACACGUGGGACUUGGAAAGGCAGCAAAUGUCUGUAGGAGAGAAAAGCAGCAGGAGCUGGUUCCCAGGGCAGGGCUGGAGCAGGAGCUGGCGGUGCUGCCCUGUAGGCUGCAGGCCUUAGGAACAGCGGGAGGUUUCGGGCUCCAGACAUGACAGCUGUGAUGGGAAAAGGUCCUUUUCAAAAAAUCUUAUUCCUUACAUACUUCCCUGUCUAUUGGCAGGGGAGCCAGGGAUCAAGUUCAUCCAAUGCACUCUUGAGCGACUCAAAUCUCCACUGCAUCUGACCAUCUGCCUGAGAAUGAAAAUAGCCGAAAUGCACCAAAGCGAUUUUCUAGAGGUUUAGCUCUUAAUGAAAACAGGCUGUUUGCAACUCUUCUUAGUUGUUAUUUGGGGUGCAAGCACAGAGCACUCAGUAAUUUAUGUAGAAAAAUGUUGGAAGACACCUAAGCAGCCUAGACAGGGAGCUGGUUCCAUUGAGAUCAUGGACCUGCCUUUUAAGGACUCCUUAGGGGUCACUGUCUCUGUAAGACCCUCUAUGGGUUUCUCUGAAGAAAAGGGUCUAAAGAUUUCUACACAAACUGGGCUCAGAACUUCUGUUGGCUCAGGACUCCCAGGUGGACUGACAAACAGGAGGAGCCUACUUACGUGGUUUGGUCAGUCUUGCCUCAUGCACUGCUUCUCCACACUCCCUGCUGCUCUCGGCUCUGUCCUCCUGCCUUCACACAUCUGCAGCUGCAUAAAUGAAUGCCUUCCCAUCGCCGUACCUGCCCAGCAGAUUCCCACUUUUCCCAUGAGCCCAGCUCAAAUUUCACCUCCUCCAUAGAACCUUCCAUGACUGUCCUGUUGGAAGUUAACUUUCCUUCCUCAGGGCUCAACAACCAUUUGGGGUUGACAGUCCCCUAAACUCUAAAUACUGGAGACGCUUAUUAGUGAAGGUCUCCUCUCCCCCCCUCCCCCAAUUAGAUCAUAAACUAGAAGUGAAUGGAAGAUUAUUGAGCCUCCAAGGUUAUGAUAAAACUGAAAGGUGGCACUUGCUUUUAUAGACGUUAAAUUCCUCUGAAGGGAUCUAUUGCUGCUCUCUUGGGUGGACGUGCACGAAUGGGCUCCUCGAGGUCUUGUGUUUGCAAAGGCACAGUUCUGCAGCUGUAGGACUUGAGCAGCUGUGGCCAGGCAACAAUGACCAGAUGGCCCAUCUUUUUUAUUCUCCCAACUGACUUGAUCAAAGGCCACCGUGGGAACAGCUCUGUCCUAACAGCCACUGACUGCUGUGGAGGCAGGCGUAGGGGAGGAAAGACAAAUGUCAAAAUUCUUGGAUGAUCCUGGAUAGCAACUAGCCAGCUGGGGGGUGCAAAUGAGUGACAGAGCCUUUCACCUCUGGAGUCAGCAGCACGCCUGGCUGAAUGGCAAUGAGGCCAGCACAUCUGUCAGCUGGACAGCAGUUGCUGUGAAUGAAUCGCCUUUGUCCCUUGGGGCAGGGACAAGUGUCUUAUUUAUUUGCUCAACAGAAAGUCAUAUAAACCAUGGGCCAAAAAGAAGCCCUGGUGAUUUCGAGCCCAGCUGCCUUCAGACUGGAGAUACUACCACCAGUGGAAAAGCAUACAUGGGAACUUAGAUGGAAGGGGCCUCUGUUAACAGCAGAAGGCGCCUCACCUCUCUGAGAAGUCUUCUGGGCAGAGGCUUGAGGGAGCCAGAAAAUGCCUCCUCUACAUGGGGGCUGGCAGGGGAUCGAGUCACCUCCUUCCACAGCUCCCCACUAAUCCCAUGAGCAAGCUCCAUUUGCAGUUGGCUCAGGUCUCAUUUUCUUAUCUGAACUAAAGUAUUGAUCCAUUGUCCCUGGGACUCCUCUGCCGCGCAGCUUUGUGACCACUGGUAAAAGCAGCUUUCCCAAAGCCAGCCAGGCCUGGAAAGGGUGGCCUUGACUGGGUUUGUACGUCAUCAAAUCUUCCCAGAAAAUGGAAGCUGGAGACUGCCUCCUUCAUGUCUGGAACCUCGGGGGAAGCCCCAGGCUUUGAGUUUGGACUCAGCUUUUCCAUUUUCGCCAGCACUUCUCAUCUGACACUGGCUCUCUGUCUUCAACAUCAGCGCUUUCCCACAGCCUUCGAGGAGUGAAGCUGUCUGUUCUUGCCUCUGAGGACUGGGAUGUUAAGACAAACACAGGGUCUCCGCCUUCACAGGGGUCCCCAGCUCAGAGAGCCACACAGUGUUGACAGCGUGGCGGGUCCUUCAAAGACUACUGCAGGGGAAGCAGAAGCCUGCGGAGGACGGUUAUCCCGAAUGCUGCCUGGGAUAGACGCUCCGACGCCAGAGCAAGUGGCCACCGGCAGAGGGCGGCACAGAGACGGAGGCGUAGAAAACCCAGGAUGGAUGGGCAAAAGGGGAGAAGAUGAAAAGCAGAAAGUGUCUUAUCCAAAAACACCCUCCCAGCACGUAUAUACCUGGACCUAAAGGGGUGAUAACAACUGUGCACACACGAAUACAUCCAGCUGCAAGCUAAGCUCACAUAAGAUUUCCAGCUAACAGUUUCAAUGUUUCUUUGGAAGAGACUACAGAAGCUCCACAAUUCCCAUGGCUCCAUACUCCAAACUGCACUGAAGUUCGCCUGGGACAGGUAUAUAUUUAUGUGUCAACCUGUGUUCCCACACUUGGCUAGGACCCCAGCGACAAAUCCAAGUUUCCCAGAGCCUCGCGACGCUGUAACUCCCUCGCAGGGAAUCUGUGGCAUUACUCUCUGUCCACGGGAGUGUACGAACAGAUCUUUUCUCCUCCUCAUGGUCAGUUUUCUAUUUGUGAUUAGUAAUUGGCUUCUCUUGGUACGUUACGAUCUAUUACAAAAGCCAAACAUUUAGAGGGCAAAUUGGAAUGACAAAAUUUGGUUAUAAUUUAUGUUGGCCCCUGACAUAUAUAUUUUUUUAAUGAUUUGGUCUCUAAGCAACUGAUCUCUUAGCAACAAGAAGCACCUUUAUAAAAGAUGGCACACAAAGAGUGAUUGCCAGAAAAGCCACCCGAUUCUUAAACAGCCGCGCAUCAUUAGCAAAACUCACCAUCUCCGAGUCCCAAUACUAGAAGUGACCAGCAGACCCAGGUAACCUUGAUAUUUGCACAUUUUCCUGGAAAAAAAAAAAAACUCAUGCAAUUAUUGAACAGAACAAAAUUCUUUGAAAUAUGUUCUUUUUUUUGAGGUUUUAUUAGUUGGUCUUGGCUAACUUUUAAUAGAAUGUAUCUGUGAAAAUGACUGUUUUUUUUUUAAUUGGACAUAAAUUUUGUGAUCAGAAAACAGUAACUCAAUAUUUCAUUGACAUGAGGAUGGAAGGGGGAAACAAUCUAUUCUUUUCAGAGUUUAUAUCUGUAGGUUUUCAGUUGAAGGAAAAAUCAGAACUGUGGCAAAAUAGAAGCAUGCAGAAUGCCACCCCGAGUUUGUGCACUUCUAGGGGGAUAAAUGGAUGUUUUCCUUGUGUAUUUUUUAAAUUGUUAAAAUAUUUAAAGAGUAGCAAAAUAUUUUACUUCCAAACUUUAGACAGUGUAAAUGCCAGCAGCCAGUGAUGAAUUUUUGUUGCAAAUAUUCAAGGACUGGCUUUUCUCUCUUUCAUAGCACAAAAGCAAGCAUUUUUUAUUCAUUUUCAUUGCCAUAAGAAUAGGUGCAUUCCAAAACUAAAAUAGGCGAAAUUCCAGCCAUGUGUAACUUGCUUGCUUUUUUCAGGUACUCAGGAGUUGCAAACUUAAAUGUCUUUCUAGAAAAUUGGAGUUUAUAAGGAACAACUGUUAUUUCCCCUGUACCCCCUUCAAAUGAGAUUGUAAUUAUAAACCCACUUGGGGUGCUCAAAGUACAUAAAAGGAGAUGUUUUAUGAGAGCAGAACAAAAGUCUCCUUAAUCAAGCUUGGAAACAACGUUAUGUAGUUAUCACAGAUCUAAGCACACAGGCUUUAGAAAAUUGCAGUUUUAAUAAAGACAAGUUGAGAUGGUGCUACUUUUGUCUUUUGGAAGCGUUGCUCGUAGCACUUAUCUUUAAAUUGAACUGUAUGCUAACAUCUUCGCGGAACAGGAAAAAUAGGAUACUUUGUCUAAAUACAAAGCUUGGCAAUGGGUCAGAGCACUCAAAAUUAGGACAAUCCCAGAAAAUACGGGUCUUACAGUUGCUCUGCUAAGACAAAGCUCCUUGUCAGCACCAGAUGAUUACACUUGAUUUUAAAAUCUGCUUAUGACUCGUGUUUCUAUUACGGCUGUCAACUUCAGGCAGAAGGAAUUCCUUCUUGAGAUUGCUUUGCUUAUAAGUUAGCAACUUGGAUAUCUAAUGUUGAACUGCAGAACAUUUUUUUUUUAAAGCAAUAUACUAUGGAAGCACAGAGAAACACAUAGCUUUCUCCUUUAGAACUGGAGAUUUUAUGUACUUCUGUUACAGUGUGGUUAUUAUUGUAGAAAACAUGUUUGUGGCUUUAAGGAACUUGGAUAAAUAACUACAAGAUAUAACUGGUGUUGACUGUGUCUGGAUGCAUUUUCAGUUUUAAGUGUGUAAUAGUCUCCUAAAUAUGAAGGGAAUUAAAAUAAGCAAAAAUAUAAUAUAUAAUACAUAGAUUAUAAUAUAAUACAUAAGGCAAAGAUAUAUAAUAUAACAUAAUAUACAAUAUAAACAGUAACAUUUAUACUGUAAGUGGCAGCUAUAUUUUUGCGGUGGUUCUUUAAAGAUUUUUCAAACCCAGUCUCUGCUCUUUGAGGUUCAUAUCUUCUAAGUUUUGUCUGUGCAAGGAAACAAAGGGGGCCGGCAGCUCAGCUAUCUUAACAGUCCCUCUGAGCAAGAUGGACAAACAAUUGCAAGAUUUGAGAUUCACAGUGAAAUACUCUGAAUAGACUAGUCACUACAGAUUAAGCCAACUCAUCUGGCUGUGUUGGGAUUAGUUACAUUUUAGACAGACAGAAAUACACAAACACACACACACACACACACACACACACACACAGAGUGGAAUGGUCUCAGUAUAAUUCAUCAAUUAGGAAAUUUUUUAAAAAGUAUAGCUUUAAUUUCACAAAUGAGAGUUUCAUUCACAGUCCCUAUUUGUAUCUGAAAACCCCAGACAAAAUCUGAAGACUGGGGCUGGGUGUGGGGGUGAAGGUAACAGCUGUCAGAUUCCCGACCACGGUCCAGCUCUGCGGGAGAGCCACGCUGCAAAGGGCUCCAUUAGCGAGUUGAAACGAUCAGGCAGGAACUGGAUCCAUCACUACGUGUUUGGUCUUUGAGCAGAAAAGUUUAAGCCUCCUAAUGAGCUGUGCUUGGGAUAAUUUGGUCUUUCUCCGAUGGGAGGGAAGCAAGGAAAAAGCCUCAGGAGCAGCCGCGAUGGGCUGGGCACGUGACAAUGUGCAGCUCUGUUUAAUCCCCACAGCAGCCGGGCAAAGGCAUCGGGAGUUCCCUUUCACGUGCACAGACUGGGUUCAGCAGUUUGCCAAGAUGUCACCUAACUGCUGAAUGGAAAAGCUGGGAUUUCACCCAGGGCCAGCCUGGCUCUCCCAGCCGAUGUGCUUUCCUUGUGCCACAGUGGAAUAAGCAGCUGUUUUAAACUGCCACUGAAAUAGUCCUCCUGGUCUUAGGAAAGCAAAAGUUCUGAGAAGUUAAGCCAGCAGUGGUGAUUCAGGCAUCUUCUGACAGAAGAGACUUCUUAACCACUUUUUCUGUGGGCCGGGGAAAUUCAGAUGGUGCAUUUUCAAUGGCUGCCACUGGCUGGGAACCACAGGCAGGCAGUAGGCUGGACUGGGGCACAGUGACCAUGGGGUGUGUUCCCAUUCCUUGCCAUGAUGCACAUCCCAAGUGAGGUGGGGUAGCACUUUUUGAAGUACCCUUUCUGUGAGAACAGAGUCUGAGACAGGGCUCCCUGAUUCCAGAACAAAACAGCUGGGGGACUGCACAGGUAGAGAGGAAGCCACACCAAGAUCAGGACCAGGUUUAGUGAUAGGCUACCACAUUAAGGUGGCUAGGAAGAAAACCCAGGUGUGACUGGGUCAAAUGGGGAGGGGGGUGUGUGUGAAAUGACGCCACAGAAAGCAGAGCUUUCUCCCAAGGACAUGUCUGCAAAGUUGCGGGACUGAAUUGCCUUCUACCUCCGAGAGGCUUUGGUUCUAAAGCCUCUGGUUUAUGUUUUCACCCCUCUUCAAAUAUACCUGACAAAAGGGAUCAGUCUUAGAGGGGGGCUUUUAACAAAACUUCCCUGAAACAGUUUUUGGGGUAGAAGCCAAUUUUAGAGGAGUGAGGGCCUGGGCAGCCACGUCUAACCCUGAAAUCCCUCUACUUGUCCUAUUUGAUCCUGACAUCAGUUAGCUCAGACAUAAAAUCCUUCCUGAAAGGUCAAUGCAGGGGGCAGGAACGAGGGAGCCCACAUAGAAAAAUCAGACAAUAAACCUUUUCCCGCCCUACAAACCUUUUCCUGCCCUACAAAUCAUUCCCCGCCCUGCAAACCCAGUUUCCCACCUAAUCUUUCCUCGUUCUAUAAAAGGACAUCUCUCUCCCCCACAACGGGCAUGACUUUUCCGACCACUGUGGGGGUUGGUGAACCUCGCCUGGGGGCACAAUAAAGUUCCUGCCUGUUAGAAACUUGGCCUGGCUCUCCUCUUUACCGCGCCUAUCCUUUCACUUCCUACAACUGAAAAUAUAACAUAUGUAGACACAUAGAUUCUAAAGUGUGAUACAGAUCUAGAAAAGUUUGGGGUCAGAGGUGAUCUGCGAUGAACUUGGUGUGAUGGUCAAAUGAACACCAGUGGCUGCUUUUGCCUGCUGCACUUGGCUAACACUCCCAACAGGGGGAAGAAGUGACCUCCAACUUCUUUUUCCAGCCCAUCCCUGUUGGGUCAUUCCUCUGGGUAACCCCUUCAACUGUGAGUUAGCGAACUGAUGGACAGCUUAGGAAAUCUGAAAAGAAGAAUGCAUAAUAACAGGCUAUAUUGUUGCCUAAAAAUUAAUCAUCUGUGCAAAAAUAUUCAAGCCAUCCACAUGCCCCUCCUUUCCUAGGCCCUAGAGUUCCUGUCUCUUGUCAGAUAUGCCCCCUCUGAGUUUCUGCCUGGUGUAUGGCGCUAUGACACAGAAGGUGGGUGCCAAGAGGUCACCUACUGGCCACAGACAGCACACACCAGAUGCUCCUCUAUGCAGAGAGGAGUAUCCUCAUCUGCCAGUUGGAAGUGGACCACCCAACUCAUACAAGUCAGACCACUCUUGUAUGUGGGAGCUGACGAAGCUCAUUUUUGACUUCCCACUUCAAGGUGAGGGAAAUGAGUAGAAAUGAUUUUUGCAAGGUCUAUGCAGCUAGUCAGAGAACUAGAGUUGAGUUCUCUUGACUCCCAGUCCAGUGCUCUUUCAUCUGUAUCAUAAGCAGGAUGAAACCUGAGACGAGGGCAAGAGAACAAAUCAUUACCCCUACUUUACAGAUAGAAAGACUGAGGGCAUAGUUCAAUUUAGGAACAACCACCUUCCAAAAACAGGAAAAUCAAAUUUGUGGAAGUGAUUUAAGGACUCCCCAUUAAUAAUUUUCAUUCUUUCUGCUACAUACAAAUAUGCAGAUUUCAGGGUUACUGUGAUCGCUCUGAAGUGUGCCAAAGCCUAUUCAGUCUGAUGAUCACACAUAACUCUCCCCUAUAUGAAAAGUAAGAAAGGGGAGGGAGAAAAUGGUUCCUACCUCUAUGAAGCAGAGUCCAAACAAGUUUAUGCAUUUACAGAAUUCUUUUAAAAGAUAAGGCAACACAUAGCUGCAUGUCAGAUGUGUCACAGGAAGCGCCACUGUAAGCAGGAGUCCCUUGUGGUCCUUGUGGCUAUUUCUCCCAUGGGAGCAAGAUCUUCAUUCUUGUAAAGUAUUACAGUCCCCUACGUGAGGAUGGCACUGCCCCGGAAGACGCCCUAGCAAGGAUGCCCUGACAUGGAGAAGCAAUAAUAGGAACUCCAUGGUUCUGAUAACCAUUCUAAAAACUUAAGUGGAGGGUGUGAGCACACAAGGAUUGAGUGGGCUAUGAAAAGUUCUGUGCUAGGGUAUUUACAUCAGUUUGCUUAUUUAAUGCUGACAACCAAUGAUGAGUCAGUAUUCUGGGUACUGUUUUCCAGAUGAGGAAGCUGAAAUUCUUGUGCACUUAGAAACUUAUUGAAGAGGGCAAUUUCCAUAAAUUGGUGUCUAUAUAUUCAACAUAUAUUUUACUGCACUUAAACGACUAUCUCAUACUGGACUAGAUGUCGGCAACAUAUAGAGUUAAAUAAGACACAUGGUCUUUAUCUUGAAGUAGGCUCACCACCUAAAGAUAUUCAGUUAAUGUGGAAAGCUGUUUGCUAGCAAAUUGAAAAUAAGAUAUUAAGAGAUUUAUUAUAUGUCUUAUAUAAUAAGUAAAUCUCUUAUUACUAAGAGAACAUACACCUUGCAGGUUAGACAGGUUUUAGAGGAAAAAAAAAAUCCUAGGAUAGAAAAAUGCAGGGGUAGGGCUUAAAAUGAGGAGGGGAGGGGAACUAAACAUUGACAUUCAUGGCAUGUAGAAUAAAAUGGGCAAAAGCAUGGAGGGGAGAAUGGCCAUAUCACAUAAAAGGGCCAGCAAACCUCAUGUUUCUUCUCUUGGCUGAAGGAGUUCCAUAUUGAGGGAUAAUACUGAGAACGAACUUGGUGACACAGGAUGCUGGUGGAAAACCUUCAGGGCCAAAGGAGUUUAGAUUUAGUGAACAGAAAAUGGGGAGCCAACACACAGUUUGCUGGCCCAGACUGCUGGUGUUUAGCUAUUACUAGAUUGUGGGCUCUUGUGACAAAAAGUACCAAAAGAAAGGUUUUUGUCCUUGUAUCACUGACCCUGAGUGGGGGACACUGUAGAAGACCGGAACUAAUCAAGAGGAAACUAAUCAAGAGGGAAUGGAUACAGCCCUGGCCUGGCAACAGCUGCUGCGUAGGACAGAGCCCAAGGCAAGGCUAGCUCAGAGCCACUGUGCACUAGGUCUGGUGACGAGGUAGAAGCAAAGCAGGAAAGAAAACAAACCAGAUGGUGGUAUUCCUAGAAGUGAAAGGAUGUUAGGGAUUAGCUAUCUAUUUGGUAGGAUAAUGAUGAACUUACUUUUGAAUGAGGUGUAGAUAUCAGAAAAGCACCCAUCCAAAUGGAGGCAUUGCUUGGAAGUUUUAAAUAUGUCCCCCAAAGUACAAAUCAAAACAGACUGGGUUUAAGGAAGGGUUUGUUCUCUUAUGAGAGUAAAAAGGGUGUGGAGGAGAUCAAAGUGUUUUCCAGAUGCUCACCCAUUAGAAUUCCUGCUAACUUAAUGGUUUUGUGAGGAGAGUGAUGCUAUACUGGAAAGCCCGUGAAGCUGAGGGACUAGCCCUCUGGGCAACUGGCAGAUCUGAUGCGGGGUCUUGCUCCUACUCGUGUCUGAAGGAUUAUCUCUAAGAAUGAGUGAGAAAAUGGAGAAGACAAGAACUCAGCUGUAGACUGAGUGAUUCUGGGCAAUUAAUAAGGUAUCAGGAUGAAAGGCAGAUAAAAGGUGCACAGAGUCUUUAGAUGAUAACAGAAGCAAACUGGGUCACAGAUCUCCAAGAUGUUCUAUGCAAAGGUAAUAGAGAAAUCAUAUAAAUGCUUAGACUUACAAACAGUUCAUGAGUGAGAGAGAUGUCACUGGUACUCUCAGAAAGCAGUGUGGCUGGAACAGGAAGCUGGGGAACCAGAUGGUGGGAGGCGCAGGGUGGACACCCAGCAAGUCCACAUGCUAAAUGAAUGUAAGGCUAGUCAGCCUAAAGGUGUGACCUUCAGCAGAAAUAUAUUUUGAAAUCUACC